AUGGUUAGGAGUGUACCGAUUGGUGAGAAGCUCUUCAUAGGAGGAGACCUCAAUGGCCACGUGGGUACAUCUAACACAGGUUUUGAAGGGGCGCAUGGGGGCUUUGGCUAUGGCAUCAGGAAUCAAGAAGGAGAAGAUGUCUUAAGCUUUGCUCUAGCCUACAACAUGAUUGUAGCUAACACCCUCUUUAGAAAGAGAGAAUCACAUCUGGUGACUUUUAGUAGUGGCCAACACUCUAGCCAGAUUGAUUUCAUCCUCUCGAGAAGAGAAGAUAGGCGUGCGUGCCUAGACUGUAAGGUGAUACCUGGAGAGAGUGUUGUACCCCAGCAUAAGCUGGUGGUUGCUGACUUCCGCUUUCGGAUUCGUGUCCAGCGGGAUAAGCGUGCCAAAGUUGCUAGAACGAAGUGGUGGAAGCUCAAGGGGGAGGUAGCUCAGGUGUUCAAGGAGAGGGUCAUUAAGGAGGGCCCUUGGGAGGAAGGAGGGGAUGCGGACAAUGUGUGGAUGAAGAUGGCGACUUGCAUUCGUAAGGUGGCCUCGGAGGAGUUUGGAGUGUCCAGGGGAAGGAGAAGCGAAGAUAAGGAUACCUGGUGGUGGAAUGAUGAUGUCCAGAAGGCGAUUAAAGAGAAGAAAGAUUGCUUCAGACGCCUAUACCUGGAUAGGAGUGCAGACAACAUAGAGAAGUACAAGAUGGCGAAGAAGGCCGCAAAGCGAGCUAUUGGUGAAGCAAGGGGUCGGGCAUAUGAGGACCUCUACCAACGGUUAGGCACGAAGGAAGGUGAAAGGGACAUCUAUAAGAUGGCCAAGAUCCGAGAGAGGAAGACGAGGGAUAUUGGCCAAGUCAAAUGUAUCAAGGACGGAGCAGGCCAACUCUUGGUGAAGGACGAGGAGAUUAAGCAUAGAUGGCGGGAGUACUUCGACAAGCUGUUCAAUGGGGAGAAAGAGAGUUCUACCAUUGAACUGGACGACUCCUUUGAUGAGACCAGCAUGCGUUUUGUGCGGCGAAUCCAGGAGUCUGAGGUGAAGGAGGCUUUAAAAAGGAUGAAAGGAGGCAAGGCGAUGGGCCCUGAUUGUAUCCCCAUUGAGGUGUGGAAAGGUCUCGGGGAGAUAGCGAUAGUAUGGCUAACCAAGCUUUUCAACCUCAUUUUUCGGGCAAACAAGAUGCCAGAAGAAUGGAGAUGGAGUAUAUUAGUACCAAUCUUCAAGAACAAGGGGGAUGUUCAGAGUUGUACUAAUUACCGUGGAAUUAAGCUGAUGAGCCAUACAAUGAAGCUAUGGGAGAGAGUCAUUGAGCACCGCUUAAGAAGAAUGACAAGCGUGACCAAAAAUCAGUUUGGUUUCAUGCCUGGAAGGUCGACCAUGGAAGCCAUUUUCUUGGUACGACAACUUAUGGAGAGAUAUAGGGAGCAAAAGAAGGACUUGCAUAUGGUGUUCAUUGACUUGGAGAAGGCCUAUGAUAAGAUACCGCGGAAUGUCAUGUGGUGGGCCUUGGAGAAACACAAAGUCUCAGCAAAGUACAUUACCCUCAUCAAGGACAUGUACGAUAAUGUUGUGACAAGUGUUCGAACAAGUGAUGUCGACACCGAUGACUUCCCGAUUAAGAUAGGACUACAUCAGGGGUCAGCUUUGAGCCCUUAUCUUUUUGCAUUGGUGAUGGAUGAGGUCACAAGGGAUAUACAAGGAGAUAUCCCAUGGUGUAUGCUCUUUGCAGAUGAUGUGGUGCUAGUUGACGAUAGUCGGACGGGGGUAAAUAGGAAGUUAGAGUUAUGGAGACAAACCUUGGAAUCGAAAGGGUUUAGGCUUAGUAGAACUAAAACCGAGUACAUGAUGUGCGGUUUCAGUACUACUAGGUGUGAGGAGGAGGAGGUUAGCCUUGAUGGCCGGGUGGUACCUCGGAAGGACACCUUUCGGUAUUUGGGGUCAAUGUUGCAGGAGGAUGGGGGUAUUGAUGAAGAUGUGAACCANNNNNNNNNNNNNNNNNNNNNNNNNNNNNNNNNNNNNNNNNNNNNNNNNNNNNNNNNNNNNNNNNNNNAAAAGCUAAAAGGCAAGUUCUACAGGACGGCGGUUCGACCCGCAAUGUUGUAUGGCGCGGAGUGUUGGCCGACUAAAAGGCGACAUGUUCAACAGUUAGGUGUGGCGGAGAUGCGUAUGUUGAGAUGGAUGUGUGGCCACACGAGGAAGGAUCGAGUCCGGAAUGAUGAUAUACGAGAUAGAGUUGGGGUAGCACCAAUUGAGGAGAAGCUUGUCCAACAUCGUCUGAGAUGGUUUGGGCAUAUUCAGCGCAGGCCUCCAGAAGCUCCAGUGCAUAGCGGACGGCUAAAGCGUGCGGAGAAUGUCAAGAGAGGGCGGGGUAGACCGAAUUUGACAUGGGAGGAGUCCGUUAAGAGAGACCUGAAGGAUUGGAGUAUCACCAAAGAGCUAGCUAUGGACAGGGGUGCGUGGAAGCUUGCUAUCCAUGUGCCAGAGUCAUGA
rnacentral:rRNA from 1 species